rnacentral:rRNA from 1 species
CCCCGGUACAACAUGCCAGUCGAGCGGAUGACGGGAGCUUGCUCUUGAUUCAGCGGCGGACGGGUGAGUAAUGCCUAGGAAUCUGCCUGGUAGUGGGGGACAACGUUUCGAAAGGAACGCUAAUACCGCAUACGUCCUACGGGAGAAAGCAGGGGACCUUCGGGCCUUGCGCUAUCAGAUGAGCCUAGGUCGGAUUAGCUAGUUGGUGAGGUAAUGGCUCACCAAGGCGACGAUCCGUAACUGGUCUGAGAGGAUGAUCAGUCACACUGGAACUGAGACACGGUCCAGACUCCUACGGGAGGCAGCAGUGGGGAAUAUUGGACAAUGGGCGAAAGUGAUCCAGCCAUGCCGCGUGUGUCAAGAAGGUCUUCGGAUUGUAAAGCACUUUAAGUUGGGAGGAAGGGCAGUAAGUUAAUACCUUGCUGUUUUGACGUUACCGACAGAAUAAGCACCGGCUAACUCUGUGCCAGCAGCCGCGGUAAUACAGAGGGUGCAGCGUUAAUCGGAAUUACUGGGCGUAAAGCGCGCGUAGGUGGUUCGUUAAGUUGGAUGUGAAAGCCCCGGGCUCAACCUGGGAACUGCAUCCAAACUGGCGAGCUAGAGUACGGUAGAGGGUGGUGGAAUUUCCUGUGUAGCGGUGAAAUGCGUAGAUAUAGGAAGGAACACCAGUGGCGAAGCGACCACCUGGACUGAUACUGACACUGAGGUGCGAAAGGUGGGGAGCAAACAGGAUUAGAUACCCUGGUAGUCCACGCCGUAAACGAUGUCAACUAGCCGUUGGAAUCCUUGAGAUUUUAGUGGCGCCGUAACGCAUUAAGUUGACCGCCUGGGAGUACGGCCGCCAGUUAAAACUCAAAUGAAUUGACGGGGGCCCGCACAGCGUGGAGCAUGUGGUUUAUUUCGAAGCAACGCGCAGAACCUUACCAGGACUUUGACAUGCAGAGAACUUUCCCGGAGAUGGGAUUGGUGCUUCGGGAACUCUGACACAGUGCUGCAUGGCUGUCGUCAGCUCGUGUCGUGAGAAUGUUGGGUAGUCCCCCCCCACACAAAGAAGAUAAA